rnacentral:lncRNA from 7 species
GUCCUCAAUAAAUACCCCACCCUACUCCAUCUUCUCGUGUUGUUCGGCGCACGCGGAGACAGCCCGCGAUCCCGAUCCCGAUCCUUCUUCACGCGAAUCUCGACGAUCCCCCCCUUCCUUCCUUCAAGAAGGAGAGCACCCUCCACCUGGUGCUCCGCCUGAGGGGUGGCAAUGGUAAUGCAGAUCUUUGUGAAGACCUUGACUGCCAUGUAUGAUACCGUCUUUGAAGUAUUUGUAUUGUCUGUCGUGACUAAGUUUGUUUCGUGGACCGGUUGUCUUCUACCCUACCCAAAACUACAGUGUGGCAGCAAAUGAUGAAUAAAUGUGAUGUUUGAAUUUAAAAAUAUGUGCUGAAUAAUGUUGUUUUUUUGUUAUGUCAGUUAAUGUUACUAAAUUGGCUAGCUUUUAAAUUUUGUUUACUAGUGUUCGUCGCACCUACAUCUUUGUACUGAAUGUUUGCUUUAGGUUCUGACAAACUCAUUUUGAGACUAGUUAAAUACUUAGGACCUAAAAUGAAUGCAGUAAAUAUUUAUCAUAUUUUCUAUGAAUUUGGUCAGACUUAAUUUGGCUGAAUCCAAACCUAAUGUUUUUUUACUAAUCAUAUUGAUAUACAUGUUUGAUUGUCUGAUUAUCUGGUUUGUUACUAUUUUACUUGGUUCGGGUCUCUAUUUCUUGGUGAAUCUACAUAGACUUGUGCAGAACCUGGUUGUGAUCAUAAUUCUACUUCCUCUGGAGAUAAAGUGGCUUGCUUUUCUGUAUGUCUAAUUUUUUGUUUGACCAUUGAAAAACAAACAACCAACUUACGGAUCAAAUCAGUAUUACUGCCAGAAGUAUAUUUGACCCUUAACACUAUUUAUAAAUUACAUAAAGUUUCACGAUUAAAACUGACGGACGGAUGUUAUUGGCCUAGAAAUAGCUCGAAAGCUCUAGGCUUAACAACCCUUGCACUAAAUUAUUGUGAUUAACGUUGUACUUUAUAGUGACAAAAAUUAAUUGGAAUUAUAUAGUUUCUUUUGUUUUGUAGAAGCAAACUAAGUUAGGCUAUAAUAAUAUAGAUAGAUGAUUAGGUUUAUAUAUGGUUUCUUUUGUGAAUUUUAUUAAGGAUCAACUAGUGUCAUGAAGUUGAUAGACAUAAAAUAGCGACACAUUUCUUUUGCCGUACUAUAAAAAGCGCUGGAAUAAUUAAGAUAGUCAAGAGGGUGAAUUUGGUGUCUCUAACUUUUCUUGGACAAAUUUAAAUUUUGAACACAAGCUUAACUAUCUCCGUGUGUUCAAUAACGUGUCUAAUAAUAUGAUAAAAAGUUUAUAUCCUGAUUUUCUAUUUUAUACUACGAUGGUAAUUUUAAGGAUGCUAAUUUUAAAAUUGAAUUGCUUAAAUAUAAAUGUAUAAAAUAAGUAAAAGAUCAAUGGACUCCUCGAUGUUUUGUAUUAUAGAUGUUGUUAAUUGAUUAACUUGUACUGAGUUAUUUAAGAGCAAGGUAGUAAGCUGUUGCCAACAACUGAUUCGGUUGUCACGGAUUAGUGGCCUUAAAUAAUUUCUAGCCGGAUUACUUCUCUAAUCUUAACGAUUUCUGAUCUAUUUCUUAAAAAACGAAUAAGGUCUGAAUCAAGAUCAGAGCUGGAGAUGUGCAUGGGUGCAUCUCAUAUGGCACACCGCAGACAAAAGAUUGCAUAGUUGGCUCCGAUCCUAUUUGGCAAGUGAUUAGAGAUGGCAAUGGCCCAAUGGUUACCCGCGAUCCGAUACUCGAUGAGUAUUUACUCUAUUAGGGUAUAUAUAUGGUCUAAAUGUUCUACCUAUGGAUUUCUUGUUAGGUAAAAACCUUCAACCAAUUGGUAAACGGGUAUAAGAAAAUUCUGUCCCUACCCAUACUUGUUAACCCGUGGGUAUAAACUUAGCCUAAAAACAUGAACUUGGGCUUUACUUAUAUAUUUCUUUUGACUUAGCCUAAAAACAUGAACUUGGGCUUUACUUAUAUAUCUCUUUUGACUAUUUAACAACCUUUUCGGCGAUAAUACCAUAGAAGGCUUAACAACUAUUUGAUGAUCAUGUAAUAGAACAUGUAAUGUGUUAUGUGUUACUAUCCUAGUGUUGCUACUAUAUCCAAUUAUCUAUGGUGUUCUUGAAUAGAUGAUUGAAUGAUGUUAGAAAUUUUGUAAUGGAUAUAUUGACAUUUGUAUAAUGUAGAUGUUUAAUCUUUGUGAGUACGGAUCUGACGGGUAACUCAUACCUAUAUGGGUAAUAUAAGUGACCCGAUGGGACUAUUUUUUUUAUCUUAGGUAUGGAUAUGAGAUAGAUAAGAGAUCAUAAUGCUCAUGUACGCCAUCAAUGCCAUUUUUUUAAAUGAACAACAUUUGAAGCCUUUUCCAUGAGAAAGAGAAAGGGGAACUAAGAUAUUUAUAGAAGUUCCUUAGAGCAACUUCAAUAGGAACCCUAAUCACAUAAACAAAUUAAAAUAUAGAGCUUUAAUAAGAAAAGACA